rnacentral:rRNA from 1 species
AACGAACGCUGGCGGCGUGCCUAACACAUGCAAGUCGAGCGAGAAAGCCCGCAAGGGUGAGUAAAGCGGCGCACGGGUGAGUAACACGUGGGUAAUCUGCCCUGGAGCCCGGAAUAACCCGCCGAAAGGCGUGCUAAUGCCGGAUGAGACCACGGGAGCUUCGGCUUCCGCGGGAAAAGGUGGCCUCUGUACACAAGCUAUCACUCCAGGAUGAGCCCGCGGCCCAUCAGCCCGUUGGCGGGGUAACGGCCCACCAAGGCUACGACGGUUAGCCGGCCUGAGAGGGUGAACGGCCACAUUGGGACUGAGACACGGCCCAGACUCCUACGGGAGGCAGCAGUAGGGAAUUUUCCGCAAUGGGCGAAAGCCUGACGGAGCAAUGCCGCGUGCACGACGAAGGCCUUCGGGUUGUAAAGUGCUGUCAGAAGGGAAGAAGGUCUUUCAGCCGAACAGGUUGAGAGGCUUGACGGUACCUUCAGAGGAAGCCACGGCUAAUUACGUGCCAGCCGCCGCCGUAACAC